rnacentral:tRNA from 1 species
GCCUCCAUUAGCUCAGUGGCUAGAGCGCUGGUCUAGUAAACCAGAGGGCCAGGAGUUCGAUCCUCCUGGAGGCA